GGACUACAGGGGUUUCUAAUCCUUAUCGCUCCCCAAGGCUUCGUCCCUCAACGUCAGUUUUUACAUAGAAUGUAGCCUUCGCCGUUACCCGUCCUACUAGUAUCAUAGAAUUUUGACUCUCCUCUAGUAAUUCGCCCAUUCUUACAUAAAACUCUAGAAAAUUAGUACCUAUUAUGGCUUGAUUUUCAGUCUAGGUACCCUUUAAACCCAUUAAAGAUGAAUAACACUAGUCUUCUACGUAUUACCGCGGCUGCUGGCAC
rnacentral:rRNA from 1 species